GGUCUCAUAGUUCAGUGGUAGAAUAUACGAUUCCAACUGGUUAACAGUGUCAUCGUGCGGUCGUCCGUUCAAUCCGGGCUGAGAUCA